GUCCUUUAGCGCCGAGACUAAAAUUCACGUGGACUUUCCAGGAAAACGACAGUGUCCAGACGCCUCUGCAGUGCCCUCUCAGCACUGUCCAGGAAGGUGGCGAAAGAUUUGCAGGCAGCGAUAGGAGUGGAGGGAAUGUGCGGGCUGAAACCAAGUAGAGACGGGGUUUCGCCAUGUUGGCCAGGCUGAUCUCGAAUUCCUGACCUCAAGUGAUCCGCCCGCCUCGGCCUCCCAAAGUGCUGAGAUUACAGGAGCUGGAGCACAAUGCCCUGUCUCAGGUCACUGAGACUUCUGCCUGCCAGGUUCAAUCGAUUCUCUUCCCUCAGCCUCCCGAGUAGCUGGACUUACAGGCACCUGCCACCAUGCCCAGAUAAUUUUCAUAUUUUUGAUAGAGACGGGGUUUCACCAUUUUGGCCUGGCUGGUCUCUAACUCCUGACCUUCAGGUGAUCCACCUGCCUUGGCUUCCCAAAGUGCUGGGAUUACAGGUGUGAGCCACUGCGCCCACAACUAUUGCAUUUUAUUUCACUGUAUGUAUGUAAUACCUUAACCACACACACAAAAUUACCUUGUUCAAAUUUCCCAAAGUUAGAAUUCUACCAUUUCCCCAAAGUCUUGCUGCAUCUCCAUACCUCUUAGCCCUUGCCAGCUGCUGGGGUUGUCUUUUCAUCCUUUGCACCCUGGCAUACUCCUAUUCAUCCCUCAGAACCCAAAUGUCACCUCUUAUCUCUAAAAUGUUCCUAGACAUCCUUUUGCCAAAUAUCCCUUCCUCUGUGUUUACAAUGCAGAUU